rnacentral:rRNA from 1 species
GACGAACGCUGGCGGCGUGCUUAACACAUGCAAGUCGAACGGAAAGGCCCUGCUUUUGUGGGGUGCUCGAGUGGCGAACGGGUGAGUAACACGUGAGUAACCUGCCCUUGACUUUGGGAUAACUUCAGGAAACUGGGGCUAAUACCGGAUAGGAGCUCCUGCUGCAUGGUGGGGGUUGGAAAGUUUCGGCGGUUGGGGAUGGACUCGCGGCUUAUCAGCUUGUUGGUGGGGUAGUGGCUUACCAAGGCUUUGACGGGUAGCCGGCCUGAGAGGGUGACCGGCCACAUUGGGACUGAGAUACGGCCCAGACUCCUACGGGAGGCAGCAGUGGGGAAUAUUGCACAAUGGGCGGAAGCCUGAUGCAGCAACGCCGCGUGCGGGAUGACGGCCUUCGGGUUGUAAACCGCUUUCGCCUGUGACGAAGCGUGAGUGACGGUAAUGGGUAAAGAAGCACCGGCUAACUACGUGCCAGCAGCCGCGGUGAUACGUAGGGUGCGAGCGUUGUCCGGAUUUAUUGGGCGUAAAGGGCUCGUAGGUGGUUGAUCGCGUCGGCAGUGUAAUCUUGGGGCUUAACCCUGAGCGUGCUUUCGAUACGGGUUGACUUGAGGAAGGUAGGGGAGAAUGGAAUUCCUGGUGGAGCGGUGGAAUGCGCAGAUAUCAGGAGGAACACCAGUGGCGAAGGCGGUUCUCUGGGCCUUUCCUGACCCUGAAGAACGAAAGCGUGGGGAGCGAACAGGCUUAGAUACCCUGGUAGUCCACUCUGUAAACGGUGGGUACUAGGUGUGGGGUCCAUUCCACGGGUUCCGUGCCGUAGCUAACGCUUUAAGUACCCCGCCUGGGGAGUACGGCCGCAAGGCUAAAACUCAAAGGAAUUGACGGGGCCCCGCACAAGCGGCGGAGCAUGCGGAUUAAUUCGAUGCAACGCGUAGAACCUUACCUGGGUUUGACAUGGAUCGGGAGUGCUCAGAGAUGGGUGUGCCUCUUUUGGGGUCGGUUCACAGGUGGUGCAUGGCUGUCGUCAGCUCGUGUCGUGAGAUGUUGGGUUAAGUCCCGCAACGAGCGCAACCCUUGUUCACUGUUGCCAGCACGUUAUGGUGGGGACUCAGUGGAGACCGCCGGGGUCAACUCGGAGGAAGGUGGGGAUGACGUCAAGUCAUCAUGCCCCUUAUGUCCAGGGCUUCACGCAUGCUACAAUGGCUGGUACAGAGAGUGGCGAGCCUGUGAGGGUGAGCGAAUCUCGGAAAGCCGGUCUCAGUUCGGAUUGGGGUCUGCAACUCGACCUCAUGAAGUCGGAGUCGCUAGUAAUCGCAGAUCAGCAACGCUGCGGUGAAUACGUUCCCGGGGCU